rnacentral:tRNA from 1 species
GUGUGGAUGGCAGAGUUUGGCUAAUUGCACUCGAUUGCUAAUCGAGAGACCGUCAGAAAUGGCGGUCCGUAAGUUCGAAUCUUACUCCACACG